GUACACUUUGGCAGAACAUAAACUAAAAUUGAAAUAAUACAGAGAAGAUAAGCAUGGCCCCUGUGCAAGGAUAACAUGCACAUUUGUGAAGCAAAGAAUAAAUCA